AAAUCGAUGAUAACACCACCAAUACCUCUGUUAAAACGCAGAUGUGACUAUAUUCCUUCAGUGACUAACGGAAACUUUCAGGUGUUGCAUACAAUAUAUUAACGAAGUAUUUAUAGAAUUGUCGUCAAAAUGAGAUUUGUAAUAAGUUGUACCAUUGCUGUUCUUGCUCUAGUGGCAACUAUCCAAGCUUGUGACGACACAAAGUUGGAAGCAUGCAAGACAGCGUUUGAUGAUAGUAUAACCGCUGCAGGUGACAACGCAACCCUGAAAUGCAGUGCCUCUGCGGUGUUAAACACGUGCCUUACCGGUGAAGUGGCCGACUGUCCAGAUGGCUUCAAUUUCACCAAAUAUCUCGAAUUAAAAGCGGAAAAUGAUGCGUUUAUGGUAGAUAACAAGACGUGUAAUGCAGAUAUGACAAUGUGUCAAAAGAUGAUACAUAGCUGUCAAGAUAAACUUCUGGUUGCCAAAACUUGCGAGACCAAGACAGCGUUUAUGAAUUGUUACGUGGGUGCUUAUAUUAUGUGUCCCGGCACGGAAGCAUCGAUCAAUAUUACUGACAAGUUUAAUCUAACAGCUUAUGCAAGUUGUAUUGCAGAUGGUAAAUGCUAUGUGGAUUAUUACAAUUGUUUGAUGGGCAAAACUAACGUUACAUGUGAGGCAGGGACGGGAUCUGCCAGUUGCUGCAGCUCUACGUCAGCUGUAAUGGAGUGUGCUAUGGAAACAGACUCAUGUAAAACAACACUGGGUUACGCCACUUUAAAAGCUGAAUACGAUGAUAAAUGCAGUGGUGCUAACGGUUUAACAGUUGCGUGGUUGCUGAUUGCUGUAGCUAUGUUCCUAACUAGACAAUUCUAGAAAUACAAUCUUAAAUUUAACUCUUUCAAUCUCAUACACGAGUUUUGUUCAUUUCUAUACAAAAUCGCAUUAAUUCGCCAUUGGAUAACCUGCUCUAAAUGAUAUCAGACUUGUUCCUACGCCAAGAUGCUAUUGAAGCAGAAGUUAAGAUUCUAUAGUUACACAUCGAUUUCAGGACGAUCUCGAGUAAAGUUUAAAAGGAUAUCCCUUUUAUAUAAAUAGUAAGUUUACGUCAAGAGAAACUUAGUCAGAAAACGGCUGACGUAGGAACUAGUCUUACGUAUAAUUUUUUAAGAGUCGGUUAUCCAGUCUCGUCUUUUAGUAUAAUAAUCAUAGAAAUAUAUAAAUAGACAUAAUAAUACUAAUAAGCACAAAAGGGGGAAGUUUUGUGUUUAACAUAUCAAACUUUCUACAUGACCGAGACUUGUUAUAUUUAUUUGUACGGUCUUGCGAUGACGAAAGGUUUGAUUAAUGGAACAUGACAAGAACAAAUUUUGAUUUUUGAAAAUAUAUUUUUUUGUUUCUUUGUUUUUGCCAUUAUUAGAGGAAAACUUCUGGUCAUAUGACAUGGGGAUUUCCCUUAGACUCCCAUAUUAAAAUGCGCUUUGGAUGUAAUUAUAAGAGGCGUGCCACAGCUCGCGUCAUCAUUAACUUAACAAGAAAAACUGCACUUCCUCAGUAAGUCUCAAUAUGUAUUAUACUUAUAAAUUCAUUUUCCCCUUUCAUAAGAAACAUUAUGUUCACAUGAAUAUGUUUAUUAACCCAGAACAAAAAAUGUUGGAUUAAGUUGAUAUUGAAAGAGUUACAUUUAUACGUGUUCCAACAUUAUAAUGAUGAUAAUAUGACGGCUUUGCCUGAUGUACACUUAUCGGAGUUAACUUGAAGAAUAGUAGUCUAGUUUUAUAUAUUUAUGUUGCCAUGACGAUUAACAGUAUUAUUGUUUCGUUCUUUUAAAGAGGAAUCUACCGGAGAAUGGACAUGAUUGACAUUUUCAAGUAUUUGACAUGUUUCGAACUACUUCAAUAUGACUUUAACAUUUAAUGUCCUUCUUCUCGCGUUUAAUUCAAAUGAUUAGACUGUGUCUUUUAGAAUGUGAGGACGGUUGGCGCAGGGUAUGAAUAUCCGCCGUCUAAUUAAAAUGAUACCAAUUUCAUUGGACAGUUUACCCCGAUUCGGCUAUGCAUUCAUGCUUUUCAUUAUGGUGCGUGUUAAGUAAUACCCAGACCCAAGAUCACCCUACCAAUCAGAACCGCUAACACAUGAACUUUAGUGUUGGUAGUAGUCUGUGGUUUAUCGUCUGCUUCCAUAGUAGUGAUAUCGCAGACAAGAUGACCGUCAGGCGGCCAUUCCUUUAACUCACCAACCCUUAUUUUGCUUUUCAGUCGAAAGCAAAAUCGUCUGAAACAUUUGAUGAACGAAACAUUUGAUCUGUUGUCUAAUCAAGGUCACGGCUUUAGAUGUGAUGUAAACCAUCGAUUUCAAUAGGAUUAGAAUCUCCCAGUGGAUUGAUUUAAAAAAUAUUUUCCAUGGUUUGGAAAUACACAACGAGUACCUUGGUGCAAACGAAAUGGACCAAAUAAAUUUAUAAAUAACCCAAUGAUUCCUGGCAAUGUUUAUUAAUUUUCUGCAUUUGUCAAAAGAUUUAUUAACGACAUUAUAAUAAUGAAAUUCGUCUGGCUACUGAGUAUAUAACAAUUCUACCAGUUCUUUUAAUUUGUUAAUAUAUGUUUUUGCUUUGUUUUAUAUUUCUAUGCACUAGUAUCAUAAAUAUUGUAUAGAUUCACACCACACAUCGGUUCAGUACCACCCACUUUAUUUGAAAUAAAACGUUUUGUGCAUCCGGUGGUGGGCGGCCAUUAUGACCAUACUCCAGGACAGCGUGCUUCUUGGUUAUGGCCUGCGAUUUUAGAAUAUAACCUAUUUAAAAUGAAUUUUGAUCUGCCAAGGAAAGAGAAUGGAAACAGCGUUAUUAAAUGUGCUGAUUAUACGUAUGUUAUUUAUGCAUUACUUCGCCCGGCCGCAUAUUUUACAAAGAAUAACACCAUUUUCAGUGGUUUUCUUUUCAUUCUUCCGUUUCUAAAAUUAUCUGUCCAUCAUACGAAAUAAUAGAAAAAUAUACGAGAUCAAUAAAUAUACAUUCAAUCAUGGCGGGUGCUAUUUUCCAUACUAUGACUUCCGAUUAAGACAUUUUGGUACUGACCCCCCCCCCCCCCUCAUUUAUGCACCAAACAUUUAUUGUUAAUGUAACGAGUCACCUGAAUUUAAUAAUAUUAGUUAGCACGAAUGGUUAAAGUUUUAAAAUACGUUAUAGGUAUUAGAACUAGUUUAUUAUUUUUAAUUGACAUUAUAUGUAUUCAUACGCCUACAAACAAUUUUGGUGCCUUCUAUAUAGAAAUGAUUAUGUGUUUUGUCGACAUGGAUCGGUGGAUGUUUUUGAUUUUGCCUUUGUGUAAUAUAUUUUAUAAAUAUAUUUUAAGUUUUUUAUUUUUUGGCGUGUUUAUCUCUCGUGUUAUUUAUCAACUGUUUUGGUUGUAAACUGCUUAUAUUGUUGUCUAUUUUCUGAUAAUAAACUGUAGUAUUCAG